UGGGGAAUAUUGCACAAUGGAGGGAACUCUGAUGCAGCGACGCCGCGUGAACGAAGAAGGCUUUCGAGUCGUAAAGUUCUUUUAUAUGGGAAGAUAAUGACGGUACCAUAAGAAGAAGCCCCGGCUAACUACGUGCCAGCAGCCGCGGUAAUACGUAGGGGGCUAGCGUUGUCCGGAAUCACUGGGCGUAAAGGGUUCGCAGGCGGAAAUGCAAGUCAGGUGUAAAAGGCAGUAGCUUAACUACUGUAAGCAUUUGAAACUGCAUAUCUUGAGAAGAGUAGAGGUAAGUGGAAUUUUUAGUGUAGCGGUGAAAUGCGUAGAUAUUAAAAAGAAUACCGGUGGCGAAGGCGACUUACUGGGCUCAUUCUGACGCUGAGGAACGAAAGCGUGGGUAGCAAACAGGA
rnacentral:rRNA from 1 species